rnacentral:rRNA from 1 species
CGGGUGAGUAAUGCGUGACCAACCUGCCCCAUGCUCCAGAAUAGCUCUUGGAAACGGGUGGUAAUGCUGGAUGCUCCAACUUGACGCAUGUCUUGUUGGGAAAGUGUUUAGUGGCAUGGGAUGGGGUCGCGUCCUAUCAGCUUGUAGGCGGGGUAAUGGCCCACCUAGGCUUCGACGGGUGGCCGGCCUGAGAGGGCGGACGGCCACAUUGGGACUGAGAUACGGCCCAGACUCCUACGAGAGGCAGCAGCC